rnacentral:rRNA from 1 species
UACAGAGGGGGCAAGCGUUGUUCGGAAUUACUGGGCGUAAAGGGCGCGUAGGCGGCCUGCUAAGUCGAACGUGAAAUCCCUGGGCUCAACCCAGGAACUGCGUCCGAUACUGGUUGGCUUGAAUCCGGGAGAGGGAUGUGGAAUUCCAGGUGUAGCGGUGAAAUGCGUAGAUAUCUGGAGGAACAUCGGUGGCGAAGGCGGCAUCCUGGACCGGUAUUGACGCUGAGGCGCGAAAGCCAGGGGAGCGAACGGG